UUUAUGCUAGCUUUUAAAGUGGAUUUCCAACAGAAUGAACAUACAAAUUAAAGGAUCUAGUAUUUAGCAUCGAGCGGGAAGUCUGGGAUUAGCGUGCUCUAUCUUCCACAAAACUAUAUUUCUGAUGUAGGUACAAAUUCAGAUUUAUUCCCAUUUCUAUAUGGAUGACAGAUACAGAUGUGAUCACUUAGAUUAGGUUAUACUCCUUGGAAAGAGUAUG
rnacentral:lncRNA from 1 species